UAGCGUAAAAGUUGGAGUGGAGUUGGAACGUUUGCCUAUGUUUACCGGUAGGGGCGCUGUUCUAACUGCAUACAAAUUUGAGUUA
rnacentral:pre_miRNA from 1 species